rnacentral:ncRNA from 2 species
CGCUCAUCCAGAGGGGCAGAGGGAACGGCCCGUUGAAGCCCCGGCAACCCUCCAGCCAGUCCUGAUUCGUCACGCGAAGCGGGGCCCGGCUAGGGAAGGUGCCAAUUCCGGCUCGCGGCGAGAUGCGCCGUGAGGAAGAUGAGGA